rnacentral:rRNA from 1 species
UGGUGAGAGUGGCGAACGGGUGAGUAAUGCGUGACCGACCUGCCCCAUACACCGGAAUAGCUCCUGGAAACGGGUGGUAAUGCCGGAUGCUCCGACUCCUCGCAUGGGGUGUCGGGAAAGAUUCUAUCGGUAUGGGAUGGGGUCGCGUCCUAUCAGGUAGUCGGCGGGGUAACGGCCCACCGAGCCUACGACGGGUAGCCGGCCUGAGAGGGCGACCGGCCACAUUGGGACUGAGAUACGGCCCAGACUCCUACGGGAGGCAGCAGUGGGGAAUAUUGCACAAUGGGCGCAAGCCUGAUGCAGCGACGCCGCGUGCGGGAUGACGGCCUUCGGGUUGUAAACCGCUUUUGAUCGGGAGCAAGCCUUCGGGUGAGUGUACCUUUCGAAUAAGCACCGGCUAACUACGUGCCAGCAGCCGCGGUAAUACGUAGGGUGCAAGCGUUAUCCGGAAUUAUUGGGCGUAAAGGGCUCGUAGGCGGUUCGUCGCGUCCGGUGUGAAAGUCCAUCGCUUAACGGUGGAUCUGCGCCGGGUACGGGCGGGCUGGAGUGCGGUAGGGGAGACUGGAAUUCCCGGUGUAACGGUGGAAUGUGUAGAUAUCGGGAAGAACACCAAUGGCGAAGGCAGGUCUCUGGGCCGUUACUGACGCUGAGGAGCGAAAGCGUGGGGAGCGAACAGGAUUAGAUACCCUGGUAGUCCACGCCGUAAACGGUGGAUGCUGGAUGUGGGGCCCGUUCCACGGGUUCCGUGUCGGAGCUAACGCGUUAAGCAUCCCGCCUGGGGAGUACGGCCGCAAGGCUAAAACUCAAAGAAAUUGACGGGGGCCCGCACAAGCGGCGGAGCAUGCGGAUUAAUUCGAUGCAACGCGAAGAACCUUACCUGGGCUUGACAUGUUCCCGACGGCCGUAGAGAUACGGCUUCCCUUCGGGGCGGGUUCACAGGUGGUGCAUGGUCGUCGUCAGCUCGUGUCGUGAGAUGUUGGGUUAAGUCCCGCAACGAGCGCAACCCUCGCCCUGUGUUGCCAGCACGUCAUGGUGGGAACUCACGGGGGACCGCCGGGGUCAACUCGGAGGAAGGUGGGGAUGACGUCAGAUCAUCAUGCCCCUUACGUCCAGGGCUUCACGCAUGCUACAAUGGCCGGUACAACGGGAUGCGACGCGGCGACGCGGAGCGGAUCCCUGAAAACCGGUCUCAGUUCGGAUCGCAGUCUGCAACUCGACU